rnacentral:lncRNA from 1 species
AUAGAACCAACAACAUUCUUCUCUACUAGAAGACUAACCUCAGUCUUCCAAUAGUUCUACUUAUCAAUAUAAUUUCAUCUUACCAUAAGAAUAAGGUCCAAUACCUCUAGAUUUGGUUCUUUUUAUAGAUGAUGUAAAUCAAACUUCUCUCUCUCAUAAAUAAAAAUCAACGUCUUAAUUUUGAAUAAGAACAUCAAGUUUCUUUGUCAAAAUAUCAACUACUCUUGAUUAAUCGAUCUAUCACAAGAUUAGAUCAUAAACAACUCUAAUCCACCCCUAGUGGAAUAUUCAUCAAAGUCACGUGACAACCUCAAGUUCUUUCAAAUAGAGGGCUGAUAUUAAUUGAAGAAGUACAAGCUUCAGAUUUAGAAGGAAAGAGGUCUAUACCAAAAUAUUCCAGAUCCAAAAUCAAAAUCGAUGAUCUAUUAAUUCUAAUCUCAAGAUGUUAAUCAUUUUCUUAGCAUGACAUAAAAUUAGAGAACCUAAGAUAGUGCAGCGACAUCCAAAAAUUCAAAAUCAAAUCAAGUCUUUUGUUAUUAAAACUUGCCGAAUUAAAGGGAUAAUACUUCUGACCAACUUAGAAAAAUAGUUCAGACCACUACGCUUUCGCUGUGCACUCUGAUUCAAACCACCAAAAUUCUUUUGAAUUCACUAAUAACUUUUUUUUUAAUCAAAAUACUACCUU